AGAGUUGAUCAUGGCUCAGAACGAACGCUGGCGGCGCGUUUAAGCAUGCAAGUCGAGCGGCAAGGGCCUUCGGGCCCUAGAGCGGCGGACGGGUGAGUAACACGUGGACAAUCUGCCCCCCGGCCCGGGAUAGCCCAGGGAAACCUGGAUUAAUACCGGAUGAGACGGGACCCGCGAUGGCGGGACCCGGGAAAGGCGCUGCGGCGCCGCCGGGGGAUGAGUCUGCGUCCCAUUAGCUAGACGGCGGGGUAACGGCCCACCGUGGCGACGAUGGGUAGCCGGCCUGAGAGGGUGGACGGCCACAUUGGAACUGAGACACGGUCCAGACUCCUACGGGAGGCAGCAGCUAAGAAUCUUCCGCAAUGGGCGAAAGCCUGACGGAAGCGACGCCGCGUGAACGAAGAAGGCCGCGAGGUUGUAAAGUUCUUUUCGGGAGGGGGAACAACCGUGGCAGGGAAUGGCCGCGGGAUGACGUGAAUCCCGGAAUAAGCCCCGGCUAACUACGUGCCAGCCGCCGC
rnacentral:rRNA from 1 species